rnacentral:rRNA from 1 species
GACGAACGCUGGCGGCGUGCUUAACACAUGCAAGUCGAACGGUGAAGCGCCUUCCUUUCUGGUGGGUGUGGAUGAGCGGCGAACGGGUGAGUAACACGUGAGUAACCUUCUCCCUCUUUCUGGAUAACCGCAAGAAAGUGCUGCUAAUACGGGAUAUACUGGGUCUGUCGCAUGAUGGGUCUGGGACAGAUUUUGUUUCGGUUGUGGAUGGGCCCGCGGCCUAUCAGCUUGUUGGUGGGGUGAUGGCCUACCAAGGCGGUGACGGGUAGCCGGCCUGAGAGGGUGGACGGUCACACUGGGACUGAGACACGGCCCAGACUCCUACGGGAGGCAGCAGUGGGGAAUAUUGCACAAGGGGCGCAAGGCUGAUGCAGCGACGCCGCGUGAGGGAUGGAGGCCUUCGGGUUGUGCACCUCUUUCGCCAGUGAAGCAGGCCUGCCUCGUUUGUGGGUGGGUUGACGGUAGCUGGAUAAGAAGCGCCGGCUAACUACGUG